rnacentral:rRNA from 1 species
UACGAGGGAUGCAAGCGUUAUCCGGAAUUAUUGGGCGUAAAGCGUUUGUAGGCGGGCGAGUGUGUUUAAUGUUAAAUCUUAAAGCUCAACUUUGAAAUUGCGUUAAAAACUGCUUGUCUUGAGUAUGGUAGGGGUAAAGGGAAUUCCCAGUGUAGCGGUGAAAUGCGUAGAUAUUGGGAAGAACACUAAACAGCGAAGGCACUUUACUAGGCUAAUACUGACGCUGAGAAACGAAAGGUAAGGUAGCGAAACGGAUUAGAUACCCGUGUAGUCUUACCCGUAAACUAUGGACACUAAACGGUAAAUUUUUAAUUUACUGUUAAAGCUAACGCGUUAAGUGUCCCGCCUGGGGAGUAUGCUUGCAAAAGUGAAACUCAAAGGAAUUGACGGGGGCCCGCACAAGCGGUGGAGCAUGUGGUUUAAUUCGACGGUACACGAAGAACCUUACCAGGAUUUGACAUGCUAGAUAGUUGCUUGAAAGAGUAACGUGCCGUAAGGAAUCUAGACACAGGUGGUGCAUGGCUGUCGUCAGUUCGUGUUGUGAAAUGUUGGGUUAAGUCCCGCAACGAACGCAACCCUUGUCUUUAGUUAUUUUCUAAAGAGACUGCCUGUAAUAAACAGGAGGAAGGUAAGGAUGAGGUCAAGUCAUCAUGCCCCUUAUGUCCUGGGCUACACACGUGCUACAAUGGGAAAGACAAUGAGCUGCAAAUCUGUAAAUUUAAGCAAAUCUCUUAAACUUUCUCGUAGUUCGGAUUGUGGGCUGCAACUCGCCCACAUGAAGUUGGAAUCGAUAGUAAUCGCCAGUCAGCUAUAUGGCGGUGAAUCCGUUCCCGGGCCU